UUUUCCUUCGGGAGGCAGCGGGGUGUUCCUUCGGGAGGCAGCAGUGGGGAAUUUUCCGCAAUGGGCGCAAGCCUGACGGAGCAACCCCGCGUGAGGGAGGAAUGCCUGUGGGUGGUAAACCUCUUUUUUCAGGGAAGAAGUUUUGACGGUACCUGAGGAAUCAGCAUCGGCUAACUCCGUGCCAGCAGCCGCGGUAAGACGGAGGAUGCAAGCGUUAUCCUGAAUUAUUGGGCGUAAAGCGUCCGUAGGCGGUUUGUAAAGUCUGCUGUCAAAGCUCCCAGCUCAACUGCGAAUCGGCAGUGGAAACUAAUAGACUAGAGAGUGGUAGGGGUAGAGGGAAUUCCUAGUGUAGCGGUGAAAUGCGUAGAUAUUAGGAAGAACACCAGUGGCGAAGGCGCUCUUCUGGGCCAUUACUGACGCUGAUGGACGAAAGAUAGGGGAGCGAAAGGGAUUAGAUACCCCCGUAGUCCUCGCUGUCUCAUGACACUAGGUGUUGGCCGUAUCGACCCGGUCAGUGUCGCAGCUAACGCAUAAG
rnacentral:rRNA from 1 species